GUCUACGGCCAUACCACCCUGAACAUGCCUGAUAUCCUCUGAUCUCGGAAACUAAGCAGGGUUGGGCCUGGUUAGUACUUGGAUGGGAGAAAAAAGGUCAAAAAGCAUUGGCAUUUCAAACA
rnacentral:rRNA from 1 species